GUAUGGGAGUGAGAAUGUUGGCAUGAGUAGCGAGAUGUGGGUGAGAAUCCCACAGGCCGUAAACCCAAGGUUUCCAGGGGAAGGUUCGUCCGCCCUGGGUUAGUCGGGACCUAAGCUGAGGCCGAAAGGCGUAGGUGAUGGACAACAGGUUGAUAUUCCUGUACUACCGAUAACCGUUUGAGAGAAGGGAUGACACAGUAGGAUAAGCUAAGCACACUGUUGGUUAUGUGUGCCCAAGCAUUGAGGCAGUCAAAGUAGGCAAAUCCGCUUUGAUAAUGCUGGGAUGUGAUGGGGAGCGAAAUUUAGUAGCGAAGUAGCUGAUUUCACACUGUCAAGAAAAGUCUCUAUCGAGGUUAAAGGUACCCGUACCGCAAACCGACACAGGUGGGUGAGGAGAGUAUCCUAAGGCCAGCGAGAGAACUGUUGUUAAGGAACUCGGCAAAAUGACCCCGUAACUUAGGGAUAAGGGGUGCCACCAUCAGGUGGCCGCAGAGAAUAGGCCCAAGCGACUGUUUACCAAAAACAUAGGUUUCUGCUAAGUCGCAAGACGAUGUAUAGGAGCUGACGCCUGCCCGGUGCUGGAAGGUUAAGGGGAUCUGUUAGAGCAAUCGAAGCAGUGAACUUAAGCCCCAGUAAACGGCGGCCGUAACUAUAACGGUCCUAAGGUAGCGAAAUUCCUUGUCGGGUAAGUUCCGACCCGCACGAAAGGCGUAACGAUUUGGGCACUGUCUCAACAACAGACUCGGUGAAAUUGUAAUUCCGGUGAAGAUGCCGGAUACCUGCGACAGGACGGAAAGACCCCAUGGAGCUUUACUGUAGCUUGACAUUGGGUCUUGGUACUACAUGUACAGGAUAGGUGGGAGGCUUUGAAACCAGGACGCCAGUUUUGGCGGAGCCAUCCUUGGGAUACCACCCUUGUAGUACUGGGACUCUAACCAUAGGCCAUGAAUCUGGUCUUGGGACACUGUCAGGUGGGCAGUUUGACUGGGGCGGUCGCCUCCCAAAAGGUAACGGAGGCGCUCAAAGGUUCUCUCAGUACGGUCGGAAAUCGUACGUAGAGUGUAAAGGCAAAAGAGAGCUUGAUUGCAAGACAUACAGGUCGAGCAAGGAUGAAAAUCGGACUUAGUGAUCCGGUGGUUCUGCGUGGAAGGGCCAUCGCUCAACGGAUAAAAGCUACCCUGGGGAUAACAGGCUUAUCUCCCCCAAGAGUCCACAUCGACGGGGAGGUUUGGCACCUCGAUGUCGGCUCAUCACAUCCUGGGGCUGUAGUAGGUCCCAAGGGUUGGGCUGUUCGCCCAUUAAAGUGGUACGCGAGCUGGG
rnacentral:rRNA from 1 species